rnacentral:rRNA from 1 species
CCUACGGGUGGCAGCAGUCGAGCAUCAUUCACAAUGGGGGAAACCCUGAUGGUGCGACGCCGCGUGGGGGAAUGAAGGUCUUCGGAUUGUAAACCCCUGUCAUGUGGGAGCAAAUUAAAAAGAUAGUACCACAAGAGGAAGAGACGGCUAACUCUGUGCCAGCAGCCGCGGUAAUACAGAGGUCUCAAGCGUUGUUCGGAAUCACUGGGCGUAAGGCGUGCGUAGGCUGUUUCGUAAGUCGUGUGUGAAAGGCGCGGGCUCACCCCGCGGACGGCACAUGAUACUGCGAGACUAGAGUAAUGGAGGGGGAACCGGAAUUCUCGGUGUAGCAGUGAAAUGCAGAGAUAUCGAGAGGAACACUCGGGGCGAAGGCGGGUUCCUGGACAUUAACUGACGCUGAGGCACGAAGGCCAGGGGAGCGAAAGGGAUUAGAUACCCGUGUAGUC